rnacentral:rRNA from 1 species
ACGCUGGCGGCGCGCCUAACACAUGCAAGUCGAACGAGAGAUGAAGAGCUUGCUCUUCAGAUCGAGUGGCGAACGGGUGAGUAACGCGUGAGGAACCUGCCUCAAAGAGGGGGGACAACAGUUGGAAACGACUGCUAAUACCGCAUAAGCCCACAGCUCGGCAUCGAGCAGAGGGAAAAGGAGCAAUCCGCUUUGAGAUGGCCUCGCGUCCGAUUAGCUAGUUGGUGAGGUAACGGCCCACCAAGGCGACGAUCAGUAGCCGGACUGAGAGGUUGAACGGCCACAUUGGGACUGAGACACGGCCCAGACUCCUACGGGAGGCAGCAGUGGGGAAUAUUGCACAAUGGGGGAAACCCUGAUGCAGCGACGCCGCGUGGAGGAAGAAGGUCUUCGGAUUGUAAACUCCUGUUGUUGAGGAAGAUAAUGACGGUACUCAACAAGGAAGUGACGGCUAACUACGUG